rfam:Parcubacteria (Wolfebacteria) bacterium GW2011_GWC1_37_10 TS36_C0005, whole genome shotgun sequence.
GCCCUCGUAGUUCAAUGGAUAGAACAAUGCCGUCCUAAGGCGGAAAUGGGAGUUCGAUUCUCUCCGAGGGCA